ACAGGGUUUUGGGUGCCUCCCAGCUAUAAUCUUAGCACUUUGGGAGGCUAAGAGAGGAGGAUUGCUUGAGGCCAAGAGUUGGAGGAGGCAGUAUGGCAGUAUGGUGAGACCCUGUCUCCAUUAUUUUAAAAAAUUGACAAGCUUUACCCGGGAAGGCUUAUACACAAUUUAAACACCCCUCAUAGUAUAAGAAAGUGCCCAUUUCACUGCACCUUUGCCAGCACAGGGUAUUAUAAUUUAGUAAGUCAUUUUUUGUUUGAUUAUUUUAAAUAGAUAAAAGACCUCAUAUUACUUUACUUGUCACAUUUCAACAUCUUUCCUUAGCUUAUUAGCUCUACCUCUUUUCUGUCUGUAAAUGGUUGUUGUUGUUUUGUUCUUUGAGACAGGGUCUUGCUCUGUCACCAGGCUAGACUGUAGUGGCAUAAUCAUGCCUCGCUGCAGCCUUGACCUCCCAGGCUCAAACUUCAGCAUUCCGAGUAGCUGGGACUACAAGUGUGCACCACCACUCCCAGCUAACUUUUUUCUUCUUUUGGAUAGAGACAGGUUCUCACUGUGUUGUCCAGACCGGUCUCUAGCUCCUGGCCUUAAGCAAUCCUCCUGCAUUAGCUUCUCAAAUUGCUGGAAUUUCAGGCAUGAGCCACCAUGCCUGGCCUGGGCUAGUCCUGUAUUCUGUAGAGUUCUCUUUACUUUGUGCUAGCCAAUCUCUCAUUAUGCUGUUCACCUGUUAUAAUGAAUAAUUCUCCAUAUUAAAUUUUACCACUUUAAACUUUUGAGUGGUUUAUGCUUCCUGAUUGGACUCUGACUAAUACGUUAGGAAGGGUCCCAGGGUUUAUCCACACAGAUGGGAUUUGGGCAUAGGUUUGGUUUCCCAGGGGGCAGUGCUGAGCUCUUUGCCAGUGGGAAAUGGGAUGCUGGUGAUUUCCAGGAAGUGACCUCACAGUGACUCAAGCUACCACUUACUGUUGACUGUGACGAAAUGCCAGCUGAGGCACAUGCCUUGGGAGCUAAGUGGUUGCUGCCCUUGACCACUAUGAAGACUGGUGUGGGAAGGGUCGCUUUGGAUGCACUUGAGCAGGGGUCCCCAACCCCUGAGCCAUGGAGCCGUAGGGAGCCACACAGCAGGAGGUGGGACCAUCCAGUUUCAGGAAAACAAGCUUAACACGCCCACUGAUUCUACAUUAUGAUUCUUCAGGCCCAGCAUCUGCCUCACUGUGGACCCCCCAAGCCAAGCUCCCAACCUUUCAGCAGCUUCUACACACCCAGCUCCCGCCUGCCAGUGGCCUCUUCAGGCCCAUGGGGCUCAUUCCUCACAACAGCCUUUCCAGUCCCAGCUUUUCCCUUCCGGCGGCCUCUCCGGGCUGAGAACCUCCUCAAGUCGGCCUCUCCAGACUCACUUGCACCCUCCAGGCGUCCUCUCCGGGCCAAGCUCCUCUUCCUGGCUGCGUCUCCAGGCCUGACUCCUGCCUCUCAACAACCUCUUUGGACUCAGUGCCUACCCAUCUCCUGGCGUCCUUGGUCGGCCCACAGCUUCCUCAAGCCAAGCUCCCCAGGCCCAGGUCAGGCCUCACGGUGCCCCCUCCACGAUGAGCUCCUGCCCUCCAAUGGCACCUGCAGGACCCAAAUGGUCUCCGGUCGGUGGGCUCCUCCACGCCAAGCUUGGGCCUCCCGGUGACCUCUGCAGGCCCAAGUUGUCCUGAAGUCGGCAUCUCCCAGCCAUGCCUCCCAGCAAGUAAGCAAGCUCUUUUGGCUCAACUCCUGCCCAGCUCCCAACCGCCUUUGUAGGUCCCGAACUUUCUCCAGCCAAGUUCUUUGGGCCUCAUUCCUGCUGCCCGGUGGCCUGUACGGGCCCAGCAAUGGUUGGAGAACGGCCUCUGCAGGUCCCGCUCUUGCCUCCCAGGGGCCUCUCCAGGCCCAGCUCUUGCCCCCACGGCGGCCACCUGGGGC